rnacentral:rRNA from 1 species
GACGAACGCUGGCGGCGUGCUUAACACAUGCAAGUCGAACGGAAAGGCCCUGCUUGCAGGGUACUCGAGUUUCGAACGGGUGAGUAACACAUGGGUGAUCUGCCCUGCACUUCGGGAUAAGCCUGGGAAACUGGGUCGAGUACCUGAUAGGAGCCAUUUUUAGUGGGAUGGUUGGAAAGUUUUUUCGGUGUAGGAUGAGCUCGCGGCCUAUCAGCUUGUUGUUGGGGUAAUGGCCUACCAAGGCGGCGAAGGGUAGCCGGCCUGAGAGGGUGGACGGCCACAUUGGGACUGAGCGACGGCCAAGACUACUACGGGAGGCAGAAGUGGGGAAUAUUGCACAAUGGGCGCAAGCCUGAUGCAGCGACGCCGCGUGGGGGAUGACGGCCUUCGGGUUGUAAACUCCGUUCGCUAGGGACGAAGCUUUUUGUGACGGUACCUAGAUAAGAAGCACCGGCUAACUACGUG